UACAGAGGGGGCAAGCGUUGUUCGGAAUUACUGGGCGUAAAGGGCGCGUAGGCGGCCCGCUAAGUCGAACGUGAAAUCCCCGGGCUCAACCCGGGAACUGCGUCCGAUACUGGUGGGCUCGAAUCCGGGAGAGGGAUGUGGAAUUCCAGGUGUAGCGGUGAAAUGCGUAGAUAUCGGGAGGAACACCAGUGGCGAAGGCGACUACCUGGCCUGUUUCUUGACGCUGAGGCGCGAAAGCUAGGGGAGCAAACGGG
rnacentral:rRNA from 1 species